rnacentral:rRNA from 1 species
GAUGAACGCUGGCGGCGUGCCUAAUACAUGCAAGCCGAGCGAACGGACGAGAAGCUUGCUUCUCUGAUGUUAGCGGCGGACGGGUAGGUAACACGUGGAUAACCUCCCUAUCAGACUGGGAUAAAUUUGGGAAACCGGAGCUAAUAACGGAAAAUAUUUUGAACCGCAUGGUUCAAAAGUGAAAGACGGACUUGCUGUCACAUACAGAUGGAUCCGCGCUGCAUUAGCUAGUUGGUAAGGUACCGGCUUACCACGUCAACGAUGCAUCGCCGACCUGAGAGGGUGAUCGCCCACACUGGUACUGAGACGCGGGCCAGGCUCCAACGGGAGGCAGCGGUAGGGAAGCUUCCGCGAUGGGCGAAAGCCUGACGGGGCAACGCGGCGGGAGUGAUGAGGGUCUUCGGAUCGGAAAACUCUGUUAUUAGGGAAGAACAUAUGUGUAAGGAACUGUGCACAUCUUGACGGUACCUAAUCAGAAAGCCACGGCUAACUACGUG